rnacentral:rRNA from 1 species
GACGUAGGGCGCGAGCGUUGUCCGGAUUUAUUGGGCGUAAAGAGCUCGUAGGCGGCUUGUUGCGUCGGCUGUGAAAUCCCAUGGCUCAACUGUGGGCUUGCAGCCGAUACGGGCGGGCUAGAGUUCGGUAGGGGAGACUGGAAUUCCUGGUGUAGCGGUGAAAUGCGCAGAUAUCAGGAAGAACACCAAUGGCGAAAGCAGCUUUCUGGGACGGUACUGACGCUGAGACGCGAAAGCGUGGGGAGCGAACAGG